rnacentral:rRNA from 1 species
UACGAAGGUGGCAAGCGUUGUUCGGAUUUACUGGGCGUACAGGGAGCGUAGGCGGUUGGGUAAGCCCUCCGUGAAAUCUCCGGGCCUAACCCGGAAAGUGCGGAGGGGACUGCUCGGCUAGAGGAUGGGAGAGGAGCGCGGAAUUCCCGGUGUAGCGGUGAAAUGCGUAGAGAUCGGGAGGAAGGCCGGUGGCGAAGGCGGCAUCCUGGACCGGCAUUGACGCUGAGGCGCGAAAGCCAGGGGAGCAAAGCGGG